GUCGUUUAGUCGUGUCCGACUCUUCAUGACCCCAUGGACCAGAGCACGCCAGGCACUCCUGUCUUCCACUGCCUCCCGCAGUUUGGUCAAACUCAUGCUGGUAGCUUCCAGAACACUGUCCAACCAUCUCGUCCUCUGUCGUCCCCUUCUCCUUGUGCCCUCCAUCUUUCCCAACAUCAGGGUCUUUUCCAGGGAGUCUUCUCUUCUCAUGAGGUGGCCAAAGUAUUGGAGCCUCAGCUUCAGGAUCUGUCCUUCCAGUGAGCACUCAGGGCUGAUUUCCUUCAGAAUGGAUAGGUUUGAUCUUCUUGCAGUCCUUGGGACUCUCAAGAGUCUCCUCCAACACCACAAUUCAAAAGCAGCAAUUCUUCGGCGAUCAGCCUUCUUUAUGUAAUCUUGUUAUAUUUAUAGUAUUUGAAUGCCUUUUUGGUACAUUAUUAUAUUUGCUAUUGUUUUGCUAUUUAUUAUGAAAUUGUUGCUGUGUUAUUGUUUUGCUACAUCACUAUGGAACUGUUGCUAUUUUAUUAUGAAAUGGUUUUUAUAGUGUUCGUUUGAAUUUUGUUGCUGUUGUCGUAAGCUGCUUUGUGCACGAUGUGUGUGUGUGUGUGUGUGGAAAAGUGGCAUACAAAUAAAAGACAUGCAUGCAUGCAUGCAUGCAUGAAUGCCUAGGAAAUGCAUGUUUCCAAAUGGAAACGUGUGUGUUUGUGUGUGAUAUCCAAAUACAGUGGUACCUUGGUUCUCAAAUUUAAUUCAUUUCGGGGGUCCGUUCAACUCCCGAAACCAUUCAAAAACCAAGGUGCAACUUCCGAUUGACUGCAGGAGCUUCCUGCACUCAAUCGGAAGCCGUGGAAGCCAAGGCAGACGAUUGGCUUCCGAAAAAUAUUCGCAAACGGGAACACUUCCUUCCAGGUUUGCGGCAAUUUGUUCAACAACUAAGCUGUUCGGGAAGCAAGGUACUACUGCACCACAUACUUAUUGUGGGAAAGAGUGAUGUUUCCUGAAGCCAUUUUAAGAAUUGGACUUUAUCAAAAGCAAUUGGGGGUUGGGAGAUGAAGUUCUAGAACCUUCCAUCUUAGAGAUUGGCCUAAGCCAUUGUCCUUUUCUUAAGUCUUUGGUCCAGCAGCUAAAAAAGAAUGUACAUGUGCAUACUCGUAAGAUCCUGAGGUGACCCUGAAGCUCAUUUGGGGAGGUGACCUGAUGGAUUAGAAACUAAUUAAAAGUCAAGGAGCUUUUCAGACAGUAGAUGCACGUCAAGAGUACUCAAUCCUUCAUGUUUCAAAUGUGUCUGGAAGUCAAGAGCUCCCAGCACUGUUGAAAUGAUGUGUUCGAUUUGUGUUUGUUCAGGAGAGCACUCCGAUGGCUGGGUGAAGAGGAGUUUUUACUUAAUUUGAGUCAAGCGUCACUAGAUGGCUUGCCCCGUCAAUAUACAAGUGAAACAAACAAGCACAAAAGGGAAGGAUCAGCAAAUGCAUUACAAGAGAACAGCGGGUGCUGAGUUCAUCCACUGAAUCUAAUGUACCAGCCAAAGUGUUCUAGACUUUUCUCCCGAUGUCAAUUCGUUCUCGAGCCUCUUAGCCUACCAGUUCAUUCUUUACUUCCAACAAGACUAGGGGGAGCCAACACUCCCAGACAGCAUGGUCAAGGGUAAGAGCUGAUAGGAUUUGUAGUCUAAAACAUAUGGAAGACACCAUGUUGGCUACCCUAGAACUAGACUGUUGGUUGGUAUCUGAUCAAGUCAUUCUCAGAGUAGAUCCGAUGAAAUUAAUGGACAAACGUUAGUCAUGCUGGGUCCCCUGAUUUCAAUGAGUUAUGGUUGUUAUUAUUUAUUCAUUUGUAUACCACCCUAUACCCACAGGGUGCUUCACAGCAUAAAAUCACAAUAUAAAUCACAAAAUACAGAGUUUACACUGGGCAUGGCAUAGUUGGAUACCAGUCUUUAGUUUGCUCACUGAGUCAUUUAUAAUUUCUUCAUUCCCUGUGUUAUUACGUAGUGCUGUUUUUCCAGAAAAAGAGGUGCCGGAACUCACCACAAACACCUCCCUUGUUCUCUUAUGGCAAUGGCAUCCACUUGAGAGGUGUUGGAAUUGAGUUCUGGCGAGUUCCAACUGAAAACUCCCCCUGUGCAUAUGACUUCAUACGAGAACUAUCAACAGUUUAAAAUUUUGCUGUUUUAGUUUCUAGUUGGUGUACUGUGCUGCUUAAUCUAUUUGACUGCAUCCAUCAUGCAAACAAGUGUGCCAUCAAACCAUCGCCCAUCAUCCAACUGAUACCGUGAAAUUCCUUAAAUAAAAGAUCUUGGUCCAGGGCUUAUCUCAAGAGUUGCCUCUCUAGAACUAAGACUUUAGAUAUAGGAGAAAGAAAUAUCUAAAUACCCAUGCAGAUGAUUUUUUCAGAAUGGGUCACAAAAUUAAAAUUGAACACAAGACAACAAAAAAAGGAGGAAAAUCCAGCAAACUAGAAUAAUGUUUUAUCAGAUUAAAAUCCACUGAAAUUUCUGAAUUCUUUUUAGAACCCAAGGCCAGCCCAAACAAGUAGGUCUUUCUGUGUCAUGAUGAUAAUGGGGUGAGGAGUUCACAAUAUUUCUAAAAGAUGUUCACCAUGGACUGUGGCUCUGCAGAAGAGACUUCCCUUACCAGAAGAUGGCUUCUGGUUCUCCUCUGAAUGCCCUUCCUGUCUGAAACUAGCAUAGACAGUGUCAUUAAGAGAGUGCCUUCGGUGGAUCUCAUGGAUUGUAAUGAGACACAUCCCAUCACGUGCCCAGAUUUCCCCUUCGAACAGAUCUUGGCUGUAUAUGUUUUUAUAGUAGUUCCUUGAGAGAUACAGGAGUAAAACUGAAUGGAUGGUUUCUCCCCUCCCCAUCUCAGUUGGGCUGCCCAUUCAGCUGCAAUUACAGACAGACCUUCAGGAAAUGAAACUUUCUCCAGCAACUUCAUGCUAAAAACUUGCUGACUUUCUGCUUGUUGCAUAAGAGAGUUCUGCCCAUUAAAAAGUUGGCAGCCUUGGAACCAACUAAGACACCAGGAAUUGAAAAGCCAUAGGGAAAGGGCACCUGCAAUGAACAAUUCCAGGAGAUGGUGAUAGUAAACUACUGUGGAGAAAGCAAAGUGGGUGGGAGACAACAGCGACUGGGACUUUGGCACCAUCUACUAGAAAUAAAGGUUUGUGCUUAUAUGGUGCUCGGUUGGGCUUCUCUUUUUACAUCCAAAGGGAGCCCUAAAAAUAAAUAAAGGUGACAAAGAUAACCCCAGAGCUGCUGAAAGGCGACAUUCCAGAUCAAAGCUUUUACAUGUGUUCAAUUAACCCUUAAACUGGAAUCACCCAAUGUUUGAGGACAUCUGCUCCUGUUAUCAAUCCGACGCAUUUUGCUGUAUUUUGUCCCCCCUUUGGUCCAAACUGUGCUUCACAAUUUGCACUGCGCUAUUUUGCCUGCAUGGCGCACUCCAUCUUAUUCUGAAUAAUUUUUGAAAGGGUGAGUAGGGGGAAUGAGUGGAAUAGACUCUGAUAAUAGAUGACAUCUUCGGAAAGAGGUGGAUUUGCCCUGCCAGACCUCAAACUUUAUUAUGAAUCAGCAGCUUUUUGCUGGUUGAAAGAAUGGCUGCUUCUUGAAAACACGGACAUUUUGGAUCUGGAAGGUUUUAACAAUGUAUUUGGAUGGCAUGCAUAUCUGUGGUACGAUAAGGUCAAAGCACAUAAAGCAUUUAAAAACCAUAUUGUCAGGAAAGCAUUGUUUAAUGUCUGGAUAAGAUAUAAGGAUUUAUUGGAAAAUAAAACCCCAAGGUGGCUGUCACCGAUGGAAGUGAAAGCUCUGAAAAAGCUCAAUAUGGAGGUCAAUUGGCCGAAAUAUUGGGAAAUUUUGGAACAAGAUGGAGAUAGAUUGAAAUUGCAGAGUUUUGAAAAUUAAAAACAAAGUGCAAGACUGGCUUCAUUAUUAUCAGAUAAUGGAGGCAUACAAUUUGGACAAGAAAAUCGGCUUCCAGGUGGAAAAAUCAAAAUUAGAAACAGAAUUGUUAGAACCCAAAACUAAGAUUUUGUCAAAGAUGUAUAACUUGCUGUUGAAAUGGAAUACUCAGGAUGAAACGGUGAAAUCUGCUAUGAUUAAAUGGGCACAAGACGUUGGACAUAACAUAAUGAUGGCUGACUGGGAACAGUUGUGGACCACAGGUAUGAAGUUUACGGCAUGCAAUGCCUUAAGAGAGAAUAUUAUGAAAAUGAUAUACAGGUGGUACAUAACCCCAGUCAAGCUUGCAAAAAUCUACCAUUUGCCUGAUAAUAAAUGUUGGAAAUGUAAAGAAACUGAAGGUACAUUCUUUCACCUUUGGUGGACGUGCCCAAGGAUUAAGGUUUUCUGGGAGAUGAUUUAUAAUGAAUUAAAAAGGUAUUUAAAUAUACCUUCUUGAAGAAACCAGAGGCCUUUCUCCUGGGCAUAGUCGGCCAAUCGGUGUUAAAGAAGGACAGAACUUUCUUUAUGUAUGCUACAACAGCAGCAAGAAUACUUAUUGCAAAGCAUUGGAAGACACAAGACUUACCCACACUGGAGGAAUGGCAGAUGAAAUUGAUGGACUACAUGGAAUUGGCGGAAAUGACUGGCAGAAUCCGAGACCAGGGAGAAGAGUUGGUGGAAGAAGAUUGGAAGAAAUUUAAAGACUAUUUACAGAAAUAUUGCAAAAUUAAUGAAUGUUAGAAUGAUGUUGGAUUGAAGUUAAGUGGUUACUAGCUGUACUGGUAUAAAAGAAUACGGAAAAAUUGGUUUUUAAAUACGUAAAAAUCUAAUGUUAUAAUAUAUCAACAGUAAAGAUCAGGAUUAAAAAGGAGGGAAAGGAAUUGUUGGACUAACAAAUUGAAUUGGAAUACAAAAGAGGGAGGUAUGAGGAGGUCCGGGAAACAGGUAAAUGUAAGUGAAGCGAUGAAAAGAUGGAAUUGUUUUUAACUGUUUUUUCCUUUUUUGUACUUUGUAUUUUUCUUUCUUUAUUGUUAUUUUUCUUAUUAAUGUAAUCUUUUUCUUCUGAAACUUUAAUAAAUAUUUUUUUUUUUAAAAAAAGAUAAUAGAUGACAUCUUCUUAAAAAUAGUUAGUUUUGGUGAGAAUUUGGUACAUUUGACUUACCGGUAGAUGGUACAUUGGUCUGAGCAAGUGAUAGCUCCGUCGGCAGAACACAAGGCUCUUGAUCUCAAGGUCGCAGGAUUGAGCCCCACAUUGGGCAAACGAUUCCUGCAUUGCAAGGGGUUGGACAAGAUGACCCUCAUGAUCCCUUACAAUUCUAUGAUUCUCUGAGUGUGUCAGGAUCAAAGCAAGCUACUCUAAGCCAAGAAGAACCUUGGUGAGUCUCUUCAAAAUGGAGACUUUUCUGAAAUGGGCAAAUGAAGCAAGUUUGCUCCCAUACUGUCAGGGAACUGCCAUCAGUGCCGGAGGGAGAGAGAGAGCUCCAGAGGGAUCCCAGAGAGCGUCCAGGGAUCGGGAGAAGCAGCCCAUCUUCUGGGGAAGGGAAUCAGCUCAGCUCCAGUGGAGAAGGGGGGCAGAUGGGGGAAUCUGAGAGGGAGUCACAUGACUCCUUGCCUGGGACCAGUGGGGGGAGGAAGGGUCCUCCACUGCCUACGCCUUCCUUGCGCAGAAGGCUUCCGCGCAGGGAAAGUAGGAGGCGACUGGGCGUGAAAGAACUUCUUUGCUGGAAGAAGUUUAAGAAACGCCCACUGACGGAUUCUGCCAGCGAUUGAGACAGCCACGGGUGAGUGGCUGUCCGGACAGAAAAGGUUCACUUUGGCAACCCAGCCAGGUGUGGGCACCGGCUUACGCACGAGCAACCCCUUGAACCACUACACAUACCAACCCUUUUAUUUGGAGUUACCAUCUUUGUAUCUGUAUACUUUUUAUGACAUCACAUGACAUCACUGUCCAAUCAUUGCAACUCACUAUUUUCCCCAUUGUACUCCUGGCAUUUUCUCCCCUUUCCAUCUUUCAAGAAAUUAUAGUGCUUAAAACAGCAGCCAUUCCUUAUUUCAGUGAAUGUUUCCCUCUUUUCAGAGUUCUCCAAUUCUCCAAUGAUUGCUCCAUCUUUUAACUGGAAACAGAGUUUCCUAUAUGUGGGCAUCACCUUUAAUGCAAUCUGAAAACUAAUCAUGUCUGAUUAAGUUGUACUUAUUAGAGGGCAGCCAACCAAAUUAACACAUUGCAUAUAAAAGACCAAAAGUACUAGAGCAAUAUUUGAUAUUAAACAAUAUGCCAAAUGGUUACUGAGGAAGGGAGGGAGGAAGGAAGGAAAGAAGGAAGAAAGAACACAAUUACUUCUGAUGCUACAGAGCAGAGCUGUUCAUGGCUGGUUUGGGAUGUUGGACAAUUCUGAUGAAAACAGAAAUGGGGGUGGAAACUGCUGAGGUUCACUUAUUCAUUCCAUGUCUGGAAUGGAAAUCAAUCCAGUGCAUGAAGAAGAAGAAGAGAAGAGUUUGGAUUUGACAUACCGCUUUAUCACUACCCGAAGGAGUCUCAAAGCGGCUGACAUUCUCCUUUCCCUUCCUCCCCCACAACAAACACUCUGUGAGGUGAGUGGGGCUGAGAGACUUCAAAGAAGUGUGACUGGCCCAAGGUCACCCAGCAGCUGCAUGUGGAGGAGUGGAGACGCGAACUCGGUUCCCCAGAUUACGAGUCUAUCGCUCUUAACCACUACACCAUACUGGCAUGCAAUCAGCAUUCACUGUUGUAGUUUCAGUCUGCAAACGAUAUGCAAUUGAUUACGUCUCUUCCAAUCUGCAUUUUGUCUCCUUUGCAUUAAACUGAAUGGGGUGGAACAACAUGAUGGCAACGUGAUUUAGCCACCGUGGAUUGAGAGACAGAUAAUGUUGUGUUUGGCAGAAGACGAACUGCAGUGGAAGAGGAACAAUUCUGCAUACAAUGCAUACAGGGUGCACCUCUGUUUGCAAUCUGUAUAUUUCUUUCAGCCAAGCAUCUGACGUAGUAAAGCAGCCACCCCGCCCUGGACCCACUUUCUUCAGUUCAAUUUCGCCAACCGUGAUGGGCACCGGUUGAGAGGGCAUGCAGUCAGGAGUAUCUCUGCAAGCACCCCUUCCACAUCAUCUGACCUCAUAAAUCAAAACUGACCCCACAAAGUUGGAGAAGUCGUAGCGCUGGACACCUCAGUUGGAACAGUAGUCAUAGCGGUAGUGUCUAUAUUGCUACAGAGUCGAGUGACUUUAUCCUCAAAAUGAUGGGCCAAACGGUCACAGCAGGCCUCUGUUGCCUCUGGAGGGGUCCACCCCCACCAACAGGUGAAAACAAAUUCUGGAAGGGAAGAAGAAAAAGCUGUGAAGGCCACAUUUGCAGUGCAACCUGCCUGCUGAGUUGCAGGUAUGAGGACAAUACCAUAAUAAUGCCAAAUUGCUGCUCCUGUGCCACAGCUCCACAGCUCCUUAAAUAGCUAUUCUUCUAGGAAAUGCUUCUUCUUCUCAUCUCCUUCAGCAUUUCUGUUUUCCUGUAAGUGGCUUCUUUAAAAGUAAUUUUCUGUGACUUGUCAACAACAGCUACAUAAGAGGCGAUGUUUUGUUGUGUGGCAGAGGAGCUCUGAAAGAGGACUCUGGUCUCGGUGUGCUUGUUAGAUAAGGCAAGGUGACAAAUCUUACUUUGCCACCUUCCGAGUUUGCCUUUAUUUUAGGCUGCUCUAACAAUGCUUUCCCCACACAAUGCCAUCCAUUUGCACUUCCACGUAGGUCAGUUUUACUUUCUGCUUGCUCAGAAAGCUGCUGUAAAGAAACACAUACACACUCUGGGCCAUAUUCAAUGUAGUGCUAAGCAAAACGUCCCGCCAGCACAAAGAUUCCUCCUUCCAUAAUGAAACAUUCUCCCACUCUCCUCUCCCCAUAUCUCUCCUGGGGGGAUCCCCCAACCUUUUUGAGCAGAUUUGGGUUGGUGUGGAGGGGAAGGAAGCGGGGGUGGGGACAAUCCUAUUGCGCUAGUGAAACUAUUAAGCUGAAUACCAUUUGAGCAAACCCAUAAAUUCAUGAAUUUAGCAAGAAAUUAUCAUAUUGGCUAACUUCCUCGUGAGGUCAGCAUGGCAACAGCUCAGUGGGGUGGGUCUUGAAGAAACAAAAGGCUGUUAAUGGCCUGGCUUGUUUGAUAGUGGUAAGCCAUAAAGCAGAGACAUCACCUUGCCAACAAAGGUCCGUAUAGUUAAAGCUAUGGUUUUCCCAGUAGUAAUGUAUGGAAGUGAGAGCUGGACCAUAAAGAAGGCUGAUCGCCGAAGAAUUGAUGCUUUUGAAUUAUGGUGCUGGAGGAGACUCUUGAGAGUCCCAUGGACUUCAAGAAGAUCAAACCUAUCCAUUCUGAAGGAAAUCAGCCCUGAGUGCUCACUGGAAGGACAGAUCCUGAAGCUGAAGCUCCAAUACUUUGGGCACCUCAUGAGAAGAGAAGACUCCCUGGAAAAGACCCUGAUGUUGGGAAAGAUUGAGGGCACAAGGAGAAGGGGACAACAGAGGACGAGAUGGUUGGAUAGUGUUCUUGAAGCUACCAGCAUGAGUUUGACCAAACUGUGGGAGGCAGUGGAAGACAGGAGUGCCUGGUGUGCUCUGGUCCAUGGGGUCACGAAGAGUCGGACAUGACUGAACGACUAAACAACAACAACCACCACCACUGGGCUGAUGGGCUUGAGAAACAGAGAUUGCCAGGGUGACUGGGGUGGGAGCUACUGGAAGCAAGAGGUGAGGGUUUGUUUGUUUUUUGCAAGUGUUUCUGGGAAAGAGAAAGAGGAAGUGCAUGGAACUUCAUGCAGGGACUAAAGGGAAGCCGCCAUUCUGGCUGACUGUCACAGAGAGACACGGGGUAGUGCUUAGGAUGCCUCUGGAUCCAAUCCUGCGCUGCUGGGAAGGACAAGCCCCUCUUGAGAUGUAAAUGCUGUGAACUGCCUCUCCAUAAAAGUAGAUACGUGUGAAUAAACCAUAUUUCAUAAAGGCAGUAGUCUCUGACGUGCCUCAUUUUCCCCAAGGAAACACAAACCGUGGUUAAGUGCCACUGUUUGGCAAAAACUGGGGUGGCCCAUAGCAAUAUAUUUCUUUCUAUUUGUUGUAACAAUGCACAUUUUUAAAUGUCGCUUUUGUCAGCCACCUAACCUUGCCGCUUCUUUUGAUUUAGAAGGGCUGACUACAAUUAUUUUAAUAAAUGAAAUCUUGACCUUCUUUGAUGGAUUCCAGAUAAUAAUAAUGUGAUUCACUGGUGCGCCUAUGCUAUCAGUGGGCUCACAAGAAAAUGUGCAUAUUUCUGCAAUAUAAUUUUUGUAUAAGCAAGGCACAGACAUUUUGUAUCUCCAAAUUUUAAAAAAACAACCCUCUGACCUUUAGCAGCCCAAACCCCACAGAAGCAUGUAAAUUGCUGAAGUAUUUGGCCCAGGCAGAUUGGGCCUGGCGUCUUCUUUUCUUGGUACGGUAGUUGGGGAAACGCUCGAACACUGAAAGCUGCCUUAUGCUAAAUCAGACCAUUGGUUUAAUUAUUUCAGCAGUAGAGUAUGGGACAUGUACCGAUUAGAAACAAAGCAGUAUUUGUUAAGUAGAAUUGGUUUAAUUCACACAGAAAUGGGAAAACGGCUGAGUAUUAAUGAAGGUUUAAAAUGGAAAAAUGGCUAAAUAUAUAUUGAUAACAUUGGGGUUUUUCCACAGUUGUUUUCUAAGUGGUCUCUGAGCUUCUUGCUGAGUAGAUAAUUAACUAGUUGUUGUUUUCUGCUAGCUAACAUGUGAGUGUUGUAACCUUAGAUCAGGUGACAGAGGUAUUGAAUUGCAAAACUGUCAUCUUGAAAGGGUGUUGGCUUUAGGCUUUCUCUGAAUGACACAGAGAACAAAAGGAUGUGAUAAUGGCUCUUCAAGAGUUGCAUAGCCUAAGGCCAAUGGAGGCUGAAAUGCAGGCUGUCAGUGGGAGGGGGGGACAGUCUGGACUUUUGGAAUUAUCUUUUAUUUCUAAGAUACUGAGCCUGUGCUGGACAGCACCAGAUAUUGUAUGGCUAUUUUUGGACACCAUUUGAUAUUUUUGUUUUGUUUUGAAGAGUUCUGCAAGUAAAACUUUGAACAAUAUUUUUAUGGGUCUGGACUAUGUUUUCUUCCAAAAGGAGUCAGUUUUUAUGUUUCCAGUCGCUUCAAACUGCACAAGAUUAAUAUCUGCAAUUGUACAUCUGCUUUGAAACUUCUGCAAGUGCAAACAGUAUUGAAAGUGGGAUCACGUAUAACCGCCCCGAUACCAUCAUGAGAACAAAUAAUCAUGAAUGUGCAAUAAAAGGAUGUCUGGAGGGACCUAUAUUCUCAUCUCGGUGCUCUUUUUCUUCACAAUAACCAGAGAGCUUGUUUGUCCUGUGGCUUCUCUGUCUGAAUUGUGAAGCUCCUGUGCUUGCUCACUGUGCCUUGACUUUGCCUCUCUUCCUGCAGGGAUGAAUAAUUUGGGAGCCCUGGUUAUUUAACUGGAUUAUAUAUUCACUUGACAAGCAAUCCUGCAAGUCCUAUCUCCCUAGUGCAAAGCUCUGCAAAGAAGUAUCUCUAAAUUAUCACAAAAUCACCACUAUUUCUUCUUCUGAUGGUUCUGCUGACUGAGCUAACAGAACUGCAAGCCCGAUUCAGCUGCCCAUAUUGCUAGUCUCAGAGAUAUAGACGUGUGCUUUAGGGUUGCCAGACUACCUUUCCCUCCCAUCAGUAAGACCCUUUUAAAUAUCUGACAGGCCAAGACGAGGCAGUGACAGUUGGACGCUACAGUUUCUGGGACAAAUUGCCCAUGUAGCCAAUGGAUGGGUUGCCUCUACUUGCCAGCAUAGCAAUUGCAGAUUUAAUAGAUGCAUGUGUCAUGGAGCUUAGUUUAUUUACUAUCCCCACCAAUAUUUUUUCAGUAGCUUGCUUAGAGAACAUUAAUCUCGUGCAAAUUUAAUUCACUUACUUGACACAGCUUCAAAUGAUGAUACAGCCAUUUGUACUGGGAGAGGGAGAGGGGAAACGGUCUUCACCACCUCAUUUUCAGCAAAUGUGCACCACUGACAAUCUAUCUGUCUACCUGAUCCUUUUACAUGAAGGAUUCAGAAGGCGGGCCACUGAGUUCAUGCCCUAUUGAGGUGAGGCGAUAAGUGCACACAGUAUUCCACGUGUGGCCAUGCCAUAGAUUUGUAUAACAGCAUUACCAUAGUGGCAGAUUUAUUUUCAAUCCCUUUCGUAAUGACCCCUAACACAGGCUUCAACUUUUUCACAGCUGUCGUACCCUGGGUUGACAUCUUCCUCAAGCUAUCUAUUAAGACCCCAAGGCCUCAUCCCUGAUCAGUCAUUGACAGUUCACUUGAUAGAAUCACAUGGACUGCUUUACUGCUGAUUUGUCCAAUUUGGAGAGAUCCUUUUGGAACUCCUCACGAUCCCUCUUUGUUUAAACCAUCUUGGACAACUCUGUAUCAAUGGCAAGUGGCUACGUUGCUACCUUGACAAAGUUAAUUCAUACACAGGGAUCUGCUCUGCAUCUUUCCUAAGUGAAGUCAGAUGCAAAUACAGUGGUACCUUGGGUUACAUACGCUUCAGGUUACAGACUCCGCUAACCCAGAAAUAGUACCUUGGCUUAAGAACUUUGCUUCAGGGUGAGAACAGAAAUCGUGCUCCAGCGGCACGGCGGCAGCAGGAGGCCCCAUUAGCUAAAGUGGUGCUUUAGGUUAAGAACAGUUUCAGGUUAAGAACGGACCUCUGGAACGAAUUAAGUACUUAACCCGAGGUACCACUGUAAUUCACCCUGCUUCACUGCAAUCACCUUUUCUUCCUUUAGCACAACUUUAAAGUCCUUUGUAUUAUGUUCUUAUAUGUGUUGGAAGCUGCCCAGAGUGGCUGGGGAAACCCAUCCAGAUAGGUGGGGUAUAAAAAAUAAAAUAAAAUAAAAUAAAAUUGUGGGUGCCCAUCUGUGGAAUGCGCUCCUUCAUGAGGUUCACCCAGUGCUUUCAUUGACAUCUUUUCAGCACCAGGUAAAGACCUAUCUUUUUCCCCAGGUAAAAAAAAGGUAGGUGUUGGUUUUGUUACCAUAGCUUGCCUUUUGUACACAUAGCUUGCUUGGAGAAUUGCAUUGUAAAAUUAAGAGAAGAGCCAGUAUGGAAGAACGACUGUGUUUCAGUUCAUGUAUUACUUCAGAAAGUGUGGUUCAGGUGGGCUUGCCUCUGCAUGUGAGCUGAACGCCUCCCGUGCACACAUGGUCCCUACUUAAAUUAUUGCUGCAGCAUCUUUGUUGCUUCCCUGUAUUUUGUCAUUUUGCUGGCUCUCAGCUCUUUCUGUUGCUCCUGUGUUUAGGAUCUGAUGUGCGUGCAUUUAAAAAGUUCCCCUGCCAUUUCCAAACUCUAAAUGUGACUAUCUUGCAGCCUAAACAAUUCUCCCAGCAGCUGACAAGAAGCACAGUCAUCUGAGCGACAUAUGAAUUAACAUUGAUUUGAAGUUCAAUGCCUUACACAAUGCAAGCCACAGGGGAAAAAGGCCCAGGAGUGCCACCCAAUAUGCAUUUCCAUAGAGAAUAGCCUCUUCCAUCACAACUGUCAGUAGAUAAAGAUCAUUUCAACACCCUUAUCAAGUUUUCAGUAUGAGGGGUUCGAUUGGCAGUAAUUUGUUACAAAGCACUGUCGUUUCUCAUUUCUCUUUUUGUUUAACAUAAAAUCAAAACCGUCACCAGCCCGGAGGCAGCAAGAAAACGUCUUUCCCAUAAAAACGUUAUUUUGUAUAAUUUAUAAUCUGGGACGCUACUGGUCUUUGGGGUUUAGAGCACCCUUUCUGUUAAGUUGUGGGUGAACAUAUCAGACGACACAGCGAUUCUUCAAACAGCUCUUGUUUAUUCACAGGCCAGAACAGAACUGAACUGAACUGAAGGGUUCAGCCAGCCUGCUUAUAUAGAGCUCCAUUAGAAUGCAACAGUAACCAUUUUCUGUAACUAGCCAAUCACUGAACGUCACUUUCAAUCCCUUAUUUGCAUAUGUGGACCUGAGUGAAAACUAUCUACAGUAUCCCCCUGCUGGCCCAGGGUGAGAACUUCACUACAUAACACUUUCCUAGCGUGCUGGAGACAAGGUUGAGCUUAGAAUUGAGAGAGGUGGGCUCAAACUUCUCCCUAGCUAUGAAUAUGAUACAGAGAUAGGAAUGGAGGAGAAAUUCAGUUUGGGAAAGUGUGAAUUUCAUAGACUAGCAUGGUUUCAGUGUGCGUAAUGUUUCAGGAAGUAUAAAUUGGCAGGUUCACAUUAAAAUUCUAACCAUGCUAUCGUAUGAAAUCCACAUUUUUCCAAAAAGAAAUUGAUGCAGUUCUCUUUCCAGAAAAAUUCUCAUUUCCAAACACAUUUUCACCCUUUAGUGUCCAUUUCAAUAAUAAUUAUUAUUGCUAAAUGAGGGGAAGGAUGCAACACAACAUGGUGAUUAAGAAUACCUACACUUGUAUCAAUAACUAAAGAAGAAUGAAAACGUUAGGGUUUUCGUGGGUAAGAAAAUUGUUGGAUUCUGUAUGAUCUGAAAAGAAGAGGAAAAAAUAGCUAGAUGGCUUGCUGGUUGCUGAAUACAAUUUUUUGCCUUUUGGGCCUCUUGUGCAGAAAGAAGUCAUUGGAAGGAAGGGGGGGGGGAAAUGUACAAGAGACAGCUGACUUAAAGCCAAAAUAACAGAACGAAGUAAAAUGUUACUAAAGGCAGCAUUCCAUCUUGCUCCGACUGAAAUCACUGCCAAUACAUUCCUGCUAACGGGGAGGUAUAUAAUCAAAAGAUUCUGAGAAAGAGGUUUCAGCUAAAGUAAUCUAGUAUGCUGAGAGAUAAAGUCAAACUUCACAGAGAGAAACUUUGGCAAGGUGAACAAGAGCCUGCCAGUGUGCUGCAGAGGAUCCUGGGAAAUAUUCUAAGGCAUAGCUCAUGUCAAGACUUAGAACUGUUGGGCUACGUUGCCGCCUUGCCUGAUUUAACAACAGACCCUCCAAAUGUCCCUAUUUUCCAGGGACAUUCCUGAUUUAGAGAAGCCAUCCCAGCUUCUGAUUUGAUUCUGAAAUGUCCCACUUUUCCUUGUUGUUGUUGUUGUUUAGUCGUUUGGUCGUGUCCGACUCUUUGUGAUCCCAUGGACCAGAGCACGCCAGGAACUUCUGUCUUCCACUGCCUCCCACAGUUUGGUCAAACUCAUGCUGGUAGCUUCGAGAACACUGUCCCACCAUCUCGUCCUCUGUCGUCCCCUUCUCCUUGUGCCCUCCAUCUUUCCCAACAUCAGGAUCUUUUCUAGGGAGUCUUCUCUUUUCAUGAGGUGGCCAAAGUAUUGGCGUCUCAGCUUCACGAUCUGUCCUUCCAGUGAGCACUCAGGGCUGAUUUCCUUAAGAAUGGAUAGGUUUGAUCUUCUUGCAGUCCAUGGGACUCUCAAGAGUCUCCUCCAGCACCAUAAUUCAAAAGCAUCAAUUAUCCGGCCAUCAGCCUUCUUUAUGGUCCAGCUUUCACUUCCAUACAUCACUGCUGGGAAAACCAUAGCUUUUACUAUACAGAGCUUUGUUGGCAAGGUGAGGGCUCUACUUUUUAAGAUGCUGUCUAGGUUUGUCAUUGCUUUUCUCCCAAGAAGCAGGCGUCUUUUAAUUUCAUGGCUGCUGUCACCAUCUGCAGUGAUCAUGGAGCCCAAGAAAGUAAAAUCUCUCACUGCCUCCAUUUCUUCCCCUUCUAUUUGCCAGGAGGUGAUGGGACCAGUGGCCAUGAUCUUCGUUUUUUUGAUGUUGAGCUUCAGACCAUAUUUUGCGCUCUCCUCUUUCACCCUCAAUAAAAGGUUCUUUAAUUCCUUAGGACCUCCCUUUUUUCAACAGAGAAAUGUUGGAGGGUAUGCAACUAUCCAACUCUCGAGCCAUCUGAAGGCAAUCCUGUAUAGGGAAGUUUUUUUAUGUUUAAUGUUUUAUUGUGUUUUUACAUAUGUUGGAAGCUGCCCAGAGUGACUGGGGCAAGCCAGCAAGAUGUGUGGGGUAUAAAUAGUAAAAUUAUCAUUAUGGAAUGGGACGUCCUUAUUUUCAUCGGAGAAAUGUUGGAGGGUAUGUAACAGCGAGGCCUAGGAUACGCAGAGCAUUUCCUUUUCAUUGUACAUUAGAGAAGAAGAUUGUGGUGGGCUAUGGGAAGAAUUCAAACCUCUACCAGGAGCAACUGGUGCAGAAGAGUGGCAGCAUAUCCCUGGCCUCCUGGCACCAGUAUCUAUAUGGUCUACUGUGAUGAGGUUCUGGAUUGGUUCUGCCAGUAUAUCCAAACAGUAUCAAAUUCCCUGCUACCUCACCUCUUCUGCUUGGCACCACUGGCAUGGGAAGGUACAUCUCCCUGCUAGCUGCUCCUGACCAUGACUGGUCCUCUCAGUAGAAAGUCCCUGAUAAAGUUUCCUGGUUUGGAAUGGUUUCUAAAAACCUACUCAGCAUGUUUCAUUAGGGUCAAAUGUGGAUCAAAAUAAUGGUGUCAAGCUACCGUAUUUUUUGCCCUAUAGGACGCACCUAGUUUUCAGGGGGGGGGGGAAACCAAGGGGAAAAAAAUGAUUCCCCCCCGCAGCUCUGGGAGCAGCGGACAGGCAGCACGCAGCCUGUGCGCUACUCCAAGACCUUCUCCCUGCUUUUGCGGGAGGUGGCGGAAUUCCCUCACCUCCCGCAAAAGCCCACAGGAGCCGUGCACGACUCCUACGGGGUUUUCGACCAGGAGGGAAAAGGGACUGAAAUGGCCAGUCAGUCCCUUCUCCCUCCUCGGGGAAAAGCCCCCAAGAGCGGCGAGCUCUUCAAAGGGUGCGCAGCUCCUGCGGGCUUUUCUACGAGGUGGGGGAAUUCCCCCACCUCCUAGAAAAGCCAGCAGAAGCCGCGGAGCCCCUUUAAAGAGUGCACAGCUUUUGCCUGCUUUUGUGGGAGGUGGGGGUAUUCCCCCAUCUCCCGCAAAAGCCCACAGGAGGGUUGGAGAGUAGCAGGAAGGCAUCGCACGCCUUCCCGCUGCCCCCCCAUCCUCUGGGGCUGGCCAUUGGGGAAGCGCUGCUUUCCCCCACUGCCAGCCUCAAAGAGCAGGCUUCCGGAGGCGGCGCCAGCGGUCGAUGGCGGAUUCCCUCGGUUAGAGGGAAUCAGCGCCACGAAAAAAAGGGUCAAAUCCCGCUUCGGCGCAGCGGGGGACCCCUAAAAAUCACAGGCGGGGAAGCCUGUGAACCUGGGACCCAGCGGGCACAUUUGGUGUUCCCCCCCAACCCGGCAAAAAGCCCAGAAACGGGCUUGAAAUCGGAGCGGGGGAGAGCGCUGUGCUGUGGGCUGUCUGCUCGUUCGUGGUGUGAAGCCGCAAGCUGUCGACCGGAGAGCGCUGCCUUUCUUCCUUAAAAUCCGGACCUGGAAACCAACGAUCCGUGAGUAGGAUAUACUCAAAUUGGAACUGUACAAAUUGGAAACUGAAAUUAGGCUGAAAACGGAAGGAGGUUUAAAAAGGAAGUCAGCCUCCUUUUAUUGUAGAUAAACUUAAAGCAUUGAACUUGAAAACGGAAGCUUUUGGAAAGUACGUUUUAGCGGACUUUAAUCCAAUCAUCGAACCUGGACUUUUCCCUCUAUAAGUUGAGGGGAAAAGGGGGAGAUCUCUGGAGGUGAUUUUUUUAUAAAGAGUGGAAAAGAAGAGAUUAAACCAUCACUCAAUUUCCUGGGAAAGGAUUCUCCAGAUCCUAGGAAAAAAAGAGAGGUACUGUCUUGUAAUAUAUUUUGACAGCUAGUCCUGCAUUGGAAAAAAAGUUUGGAUAGAUCUUGUGAAUAUAUACCUCUUGGUCCUAAGUUGAAAAUUGUGAUAGACUGUUUUCCUUCUGAACAAACUAGGGGGGCUUAAAAAGGAAAUUAAAGUAUCCAAGAACUUUUAUGACUGCUACAGUGUCCCCCUAGUGGAACUUGGAACUGUUGCAACUUAUUAUAACUGUAACUGUAGCAGGCUUGAGGAGUUCUCACACUGCUUGGGGGGAAAUUUCCACUCUACAAUUCUAACUACGUGUCUGACCUUGAGAAUUAUCUAAGGAAUGGCAGAUAAAGAGAAGACGGAUGCUUCGACUACAAGAUCGGGGAGGAAUAUUCGCACAGAAGAAGGAUUACAAAGGAGAGCUUCGGCUUCAGGCCCUUCUGGAACCUCAACAACAGCCUCAUCGGCACAAUCAAAGGUAAAAAGCUCGACAAGUGAAGAAGCCUUUGCUCAAGUUUUGGCCAAAGUUAAUGAAUCUUUGAGUAAAAUAAGUCAACAAGUAGCAGAGGCUUCUGAGAAGAUUGAUCAAAAUACAAUAAGUAUUAACCAAAAUACAGCAAGUAUAAAUAAUUUGGGCCAAAAAGUAAAUACCAACACUGAGACUAUUCAGAAAUUAUUAGAGGAAUCGGCCUCAAUUCGCCAGAUUGCUGAAGAGGCUAAAGAAAUUGCUACAACUUCUGCUACGGAUGUUAAGGAGGUUCAAGAGGAAUUACCAACAUUGCAUAAACAAUUGGAAGACCAUAAAUUAACUCUGUCUAUGAUAGAUUUGAAGGAGAAGCAAGUGAAUCUUCGGGUCAGAUCAGUACCAGAGGUGGAAAAGGACAAUUUAGCUGAAUUUCUCACGCAGGAAUUUUUGGACUUUUGGGACCCAGAACUGGCAAAAGACAGUUUCACAAUAGUAAAUGCAUUUAGACUUGGGAGAAGAGGAGAGAAGAAGGUGAGAGACUGCCUGAUUACUUUUAGAACAAAAGAAGAGAGGGAUAAGAUUUUGGGCUUACAUUUCAAGAAGACAUUGGAAAUCCAUCAGAAAAGGGUGGAAAUAUUCAAAGAUAUUCCGAAAUAUCUUCUGGAUCUCAGAUCAAAAUACAAAGACCUGGUUAUCCUGCUGAGAAGGAACAACAUCAAUUUCAGGUGGGAACUCCUCAAGGCCUGUCUUUUAGCUACAAGGGAAAGAAGAGGAAAAUAAGAUCGGAAGACGAUAAAGAUAAAUUUUACAGGGACCACGGAGAAGACUUACAAAAAGAACUAUUUCCGGAACCAAAAGAUCGUUCGAAAGAAGGGAUACCACCGACGGACGAGGAACAGGCACUAGGUGCAGUAGGAGGAGAACCAAAACAAUAACAUCAUGGCCCUGCAACUUUUAACAUGGAACUGCCGGGGUUUGAAUUCCCCUCAGAAGAGGAAGUCAGUAUUUCAUAUAUUAAAAAAGGAACAAUUAGACUUAAUUUGUUUACAAGAAACACAUAUAACAAGAUUACACAGGAAAUUGUUGAUAAAUAAAAGACUUGGUCAGGAAUUUAUUUCGUCAGAUAAAGUUAAAAAGAGAGGGGUCGUGAUCUACGCAAAAGACAAUUUAUUACCAAAAUUUGUUUUCAAGGAUGACCAAGGAAGAUUUGUGGCAAUUGAAAUUCAAACACAAGGAGAAAAAUUUUUGAUCGUAGGAGUUUACGCACCAAAUGACGGGAAAUCUGAUUUUUUUAAGAAGUUGCAUGAGACCUUGAUGGACCAUAUGGAUUACAACAUAAUUUUGAUGGGAGAUAUGAAUGGAGUGGUAUCUACUUACAUGGACAAGGCACAAAAACAGGUAGUCACCAAAGAUGGUAGACUACCGAAAACUUUUUUUUGAUAUGACAGACAACUUGGACUUAGUGGAUAUUUGGAGAAUUAGAAACCCCUUGGCAAAAGAGGGAACUUUCUUUUCUGAAGCCAAAAUGACUUGGACAAGAAUUGACCAAAUUUGGAUAACUAGAGGAAUGGCACCAAAAACAAAAAAGGUGGAAAUCUGCCCGAAAAUUUGCUCCGACCAUAACGCUGUUAAGAUGGAAAUGAGACUAAUGCCAACUGGCUCCUUCAGAUGGAAGAUGAAUGACACCUUAUUUAGAGAUGAAGAAUUUCUUAAGAAGGCCCAAAAAACUUUAAGAGACUACUUUGAGAUAAAUCUUAGUUCCAACGUGGAGAAAAGAGUAAUCUGGGAUGCAAGUAAAGCUGUUAUGAGAGGGUUCUUAAUACAACAGAAUGCGAUAAAGAAAAGAACUCAAAAUGAGAAGAAGGAUAAAAUUAUGAACAAAAUGAAUGAAUGUGAAAAAGAUUGCGAGUAAAUCCCAAAUCUCAAGAGACUCUGAGAGAGUUAAAGUUAUAUCAAGUACAAUAUAUGAAAAUAAUGAAUCAGGAAAUAGAAUGGAAAAUUAAACAAAUGAGACAAAAGACUUUUGAAUCGGCCAAUAAAUGUGGUAAACUGUUGGCAUGGCAAAUGAAAAGAGACAAAAACUAAAUACGAUUACGAAUUUAGAAGUGGAUGGAAGGAAUAUACAGAACCCUGCAGAGAUAAGAAGUUGUUUCCAGAAGUAUUUUAAAAGACUAUACACUCAAGGGCCUGUGAAAGAAACAGACUUAGACCAAUUUUUGAAAACAAAUGGAUUACAAAAAAUAUCUCAAGAAAAGAGACUAAUUUUGAAUGACAGAAUAACGGAACAGGAAAUAGAAGGUGCCAUUCAAAAUAUGCAACUGGGUAAAUCUCCAGGCCCAGACGGCUUGACCUCUAGAUACUACAGAUCCUUAAAAGAAUGGCUAAUUCAACCAUUGAAAGAGGUCUGCAACGAAAUAAUGGAGGGGAGGAGGGCACCAGAGUCGUGGAAAGAAGCAUAUAUUACACUUGUACCAAAAACAGAGGCUGAAAAGACACAACUAAAGAACUACCGCCCAAUAUCAUUACUUAAUGUGGAUUACAAAAUUUUUGCAGAUAUUUUGGCGAAGAGAUUUAAAAAAGUGCUGCUGGAAGAGAUUCAUAAAGACCAAGCGGGCUUUCUCCCAGGAAGACACUUGUCUGAUAAUUUGAGGAAUAUAAUUGAUAUUUUGGAAAAACUAGAAGUGAAUAUAAACACUAAAGCAGUGUUGAUAUUUGUAGACGCGGAGAAAGCCUUUGACAAUAUUUCCUGGAAUUUUAUGAAGAAGAAUCUUCAGGGUAUGGGGGUAGGCCAAAGUUUUGAGAAUGGUAUAAGUGCAAUUUAUUCAGAACAAAAGGCUAAACUAAUUGUAAAUAACGUUGUGACGGAAGAACUUAAAAUUGAAAAAGGGACACGACAAGGUUGCCCAAUUUCCCCCCUUCUUUUAUUUCGGUCCUGGAGGUGUUGCUGAAUAUGAUUAGAAGGGACCAGAUGGUUAAAGGUAUACAGGUCGGAACCAAACAUUAUAAAUUGAGAGCAUUUGCAGAUGACCUAGUAUUGACGUUACAGGAGCCAGAAUCUAGUACAAAAAGGGUGUUAGAACUGAUUCAAGAAUUUGGUCAAGUGGCAGGAUUUAAAUUGAACAAAUCAAAAACCAAGGUUUUAGAGAAAAAUUUAACACCGUUUGAAAGAGAGAGGUUUCAGAAUGAGACAGGGUUAACAGUGGUUAAGAAAGUUAAAUACCUGGGGAUUAACAUGACAGCAAAAAUGGGAACUUAUUUAAAGAUAAUUAUGAAAAAUGUUGGUCAGAAGUGAAAAAGAUUUAGAAAUUUGGUCAAACUUGAAGCUUUCACUGCUAGGCCGUAUUGCUGCGAUAAAAAUGAAUGUAUUGCCUAGAAUGUUGCUUUUGUUUCAAACUUUGCAGAUUGUGGACAAAAUGGACUGUUUCAAGAGGUGGCAGAAAGAUAUUUCUAAAUUUGUCUGGCAGGGCAAGAAACCUAGAAUAAAAUUUAAAAUACUAACAGAUGCAAAGGAAAGAGGUGGAUUUGCCCUGCCAGACCUUAAACUUUAUUAUGAAUCAGCAGCUUUUUGCUGGUUGAAAGAAUGGCUACUUCUUGAAAACACCGACAUUUUGGAUUUGGAAGGUUUCAAUAAUGUAUUUGGAUGGCAUGCAUAUUUAUGGUAUGAUAAGGUCAAAGCUCACAAAGCAUUUAAAACCACAUUGUCAGGAAAGCGCUAUUUAAUGUUUGGAUAAGAUAUAAGGAUUUGCUAGAAAAUAAAACCCCAAGGUGGCUGUCACCAAUGGAAGCGAAAGCCUUGAAAAGGGUCAAUAUGGAGGUCAAAUGGCCGAAAUAUUGGGAAAUUUUGGAACAAGACGGAGAUAGACUGAAAUUGCAGAGUUUUGAAAAACUAAAAACAAAGUGCGAGACUGGCUUCAUUAUUAUCAAAUAAUGGAGGCAUUUAAAUUAGACAGGAAAAUUGGCUUCCAGGUGGAAAAAUCAAAAUUAGAAACAGAAUUGUUAGAACCCAAUACUAAGAAUCUGUCAAGAAUGUAUAACUUGCUGCUGAAAUGGAAUACUCAAGAUGAAACGGUAAAAUCGGCUAUGAUUAAAUGGGCACAGGACGUAGGACAUAACAUUAUGUUUGCUGACUGGGAACAGUUAUGGACCACUGGUAUGAAAUUUACGGCAUGUAAUGCCUUAAGAGAGAAUAUUAUGAAAAUGAUAUACAGGUGGUACAUAACCCCAGUCAAGCUUGCGAAAAUCUAUCACUUGCCCGAUAACAAAUGUUGGAAAUGUAAAGAAACUGAAGGUACAUUUUUUCACCUUUGGUGGACGUGCCCAAAGAUUAAGGCUUUCUGGGAAAUGAUAUAUAAUGAAUUAAAAAAGGUAUUUAAGUAUACCUUCCCUAAGAAACCAGAGGCCUUUCUCCUGGGCAUAGUGGGCCAAAUGGUGUUCAAAUGGAUAGAACUUUCUUUAUGUAUGCAACAACAGCAGCAAGAAUACUCAUCGCAAAGUAUUGGAAGACACAAGAACUUCCCACGCUGGAGGAAUGGCAGAUGAAAUUUAUGGACUAUAUGGAAUUGGCGGAAAUGACUGGCAGAAUCCGUGACCAGGGAGAAGAGUCGAUGGAGGAAGAUUGGAAGAAAUUCAAAGACUAUCUUCAGAAACAUUGCAAAAUUAAGGAAUGUUAGAGUGAUGUUGGAUUGAAAAUAAAUGGUUUCCAGCUAUACAGGUUAAAGUUAAGGAUAGAUUAAGAUUAAAGAUCAAGAUUAAGGAUGUUUAAAGAAAUGGAAAUUUGAUAAUAAAAGGGAAAAAUUUAAAGGUAUAUGACAUUAAGAAUAAGGAUUAUGUUUAAAAAAGUUGAAGUUAUAUAUUUUAAUAUUUUAUUAAAUUAAAGAUUGGGUUCAAAAAGUGGAAAAGAAACUGCUGGACAAAUAAUGUAGAUUGGAAUACAAAAGAGGGAGGUAUGAGGAAGUCUAGAAAAUAAGUAAUAUAAAAUUGGGAACGGAAAAGAGAGUUUGUUUUUAAUUGUUAUGUUUUGUCUUUUUAUUGUUAAAUUUUGUAUUGUUUUUUUUUUUGUCUGUGCUGUUUUGUUUUUUUUUUCCUUUGUUUAAAAUCUUAAUAAAAAAUUAUUUAAAAAAAAACAACAACAAAGAGCAGACUCUUCUGGCUUCAGCGGAAGCAACGCGAAGCCUCCGGAGCGCAGGCUUUGGAGGCUUCGCAUUGCUAUCGCUGAAGCCAAGGAGCCUGCAUUCGCUCCAUAAGAUGCACACACAUUUCCUCUUCAUUUUUGGAGGGGGAAAAGUGCGUCUUAUAGGGCGAAAAAUACGGUAUUUCCUACUCUCUCUCUCUCUCUCUCUUUUUAAAAAAUAAUCUUUAUUAAUUUAAAUUACACACAUAUACAAAGAAUUUACAAUCUCAUACUACAAAAAGAAAAUUAAAGACAAAACAAUUAAGAAAAAAGAAAAUACAGAAAAAAGGAAGAAGAAAAAGCACAUUUAUGUGCAUAAAAAAACUUAAUCUUCCUAAUUAAUACUUAAAUAAACACUUAAAUAAAAAAUACUUCUGACAAAAUGAGUCUUCCAAUCAUUCUCAUUGUACUGUUUAUACUGUUGUUGUUUUUUCCUGCACAGUUUUAUGUUCUUCAAUAUAAUUGUGCUGCCCCCCCAAGCCAUUUCCUGCUCUCUGUACCAAUGCCAUUGAAGAAGAAGAAGAAGAAGAGUUUGGAUUUGAUAUCCCGCCUUUCACUCCCCUUCAGGAGUCUCAAAGCGGCUAACAUUCUCCUUUCCCUUCCUCCCCCACAACAAACACUCUGUGAGGUGAGUGGGGCUGAGAGACUUCAAAGAAGUGUGACUGGUCCAAGGUCACCCAGCAGCUGCAUGUGGAGGAGCGGAGACUCGAACCCGGUUCCCCAGAUUACAAGACUACCGCUCUUAACCACUACACCACACUGGCCAUGUUGGGUGGCCAUGUGCCCUACCUGGCAGAGGAUAGUCCUCUGUUUGAAGCAUCCCUUAUUUAAAGGACUGCCCAUCCACAUCUGAUUUAAGGAUUUAAGGAUAAAGGUCCCUUAGAAUGGAGAUCAGGAGAGGCCUUGAAGUUACCAGGCAACAGCUACCACCUGGACAGCAGAGUGACUGUCAUUGGCUCACAGUCUUCCCCACUAUUGUGGAAUUAUUGUAUUUGUGUUUAAACUAUAGUAAUGGUUUCUACAUUUGCCCCUCGCUAAACUUCAGCAUAAAAUGCUAUGCGGAUCAAUGUGGAUCACGAGGGUCAUCUAGUCCAACCCCCUGCAGUGCAGGAAAUUUUUGGCUCAGCAUGGACCUCAAACACAUAGAUCUCGAGUUUGAGAGUCUCAUGCUGUAUUGACUGAGCUAUCCCAAGGGGUGAUGUUCCUUUCCAACACUGCAUCAGAUUCCUAGUCUUGUUCAUGACUCUGCAGAGAGAGAACCUGGGAUUUUUCAUGGCGUCUCUGAGUCAGAAUGGAAAAAGAAGCUUCCAGAAGACUAGACAGCCAUGGCCAAAUGUUCAUACUGUUUAGUAUGAACAGAGGAAGAUGCUCUUUUUUGAGUCAGACCACUUGUCUAUCUAAUCCACCAAUGUCCACACUUCCUCUGGGUGCCCCCCUGAGGGAGGCUUGGAGGGUACAGUGGUACCUCAGGUUAAGAACUUAAUUUGUUCCGGAAGUCCGUUCUUAACCUGAAACUGUUCUUAACCUGAGGUACCACUUUAGCUAAUGGGGCCUCCCGCUGCCGCUGCGCAUCUGCCGCACAAUUUCUGUUCUCAUCCUGAAGCAAAGUUCUUAACCUGAGGUACUAUAUCUGGGUUAGCGGAGUCUGUAACCUGAAGCAUCUGCAACCUGAAGUGUCUGUAACCCAAGGUACCAUUGUACUAAGAAGGGGAAGAGCCUUUUCUGUGGUGGCUCCUUGCUUGUGGAAUGUUCUCCCAAAGCAUCACCCACCUUGCACCAUUACCAUGGCUAUAUUUUCAGUCCCAUGCAAAAAUGUUAUCGCUCCUCCCAGGCACCUGAUAGACUGUGCCAACUGCCCUGUUGUUUAUUGAUGGGGUAUUUUCUGCCGCUGAAGUUUUCUGCUGUUGUUGGGUUUGUUUUAUGAGUCUUCCAAUGGUUUCAUUUCAAUGUAUUCCCUGUUCCCAUGCCAUGCCUAUGCCAUUUUUUUCUGCCACCUGCUCAGUGUCAGCGUUACCCCUAUAGAACUCCACAGGAAGAAGGUUGGGGACAAAACCAGAAUUAGUCGCCUCCACCUACGCUGUGGGUUAAACCACAGAGCCUAGGACUUGCCGAUCAGAAGGUCGGCGGUUCAAAUCCCUGCGAUGGGGUGAGCUCCUGUUGCUCGGUCCCUGCUCCUGCCAACCUAGCAGUUCUAAAGCACAUCAAAGUGCAAGUAAAUAAAUAGGUACCGCUCUGGUGGGAAGGUAAACGGUGUUUCCGUGUGCUGCUCUGGUUCGCCAGAAGUGGCUUAGUCAUGCUGGCCACAUGACCCAGAAGCUGUACACCAGCUCCCUUGGCCAAUAAAGCGAGAUGAGCGUCGCAACCCCAGAGUCGGUCACGACUGGACCUAAUGGUCAGGGGUCUCUUUACCCUUUACCUUUACCUAUCAUUGGCUCUGGCGCCACCUACUGUUAAGCUCCCAGCAUUCCACCCUACCAGUCUCAAAGGACGUCAGCCACAAAUAAUGAUGCCUGCCUAACAUUGCCUAUGAUUGAGAUGCCUGCCUGCCUAAGAUUGAAAGCCAGGCAGAUUGUCAAGCUGAGAGCGCCCAGGCCAGGCCUGGUGGGCUGCAUUGACUUUGGUAGGUCACCAGUUGUGUGGGCCUUCCAAUGAUAACAGCACCCCACAGGUGAAUUGUGCGGAAGGUUUGAGGCUUUAGUCAUUCUGGGAAGAACAGACUUGUUCCAAUGGAUGUUCCCUUUGUACUAUAUAGAUCAUUCCAAGCAGGAGGCCUUGUAUAGUCUCAAACACUUUUGCUGAAUUUAUUGCUUUAAGGGGAAAAAUGACAGGGCGAGAAAGAAAAAAAGCUUGACAAUUCUGAGAGCAGUUUCAGUUCUAGCGCGAGCCCACCUGCUGGCAUUUUUUGUUCCUAAUCAUAGAGAAGCAUGCUGCACAUUAACCUUCCAGAGAGCAGGUAUUUCAUCUUUCCCUGCAGAAGUAUUCCCACUGAACAAACUAGUUACUUAAUGCAAUUUAACCGCUGGAACAGAAAUAGUUGCAAGCUUGAUGAUGAAAAGGGUAGCUUAAAACUGAAACACCGGGACACUAUGGUUACCGUCAUCAGGCAUUCUUGCGGAGACAAGUGGUUUGGAAUGGGACACUGGUGGCUGAUUUAGCAUGGUCAAAUAAAGAAAUUACAUGGGUUCGAUGUUGUGGAGGGUUUCCACAAGCACUUUGUGAAUUAUUAUUGUUGUUGUUGUUUUCAUUUUGGGGCUGCAUAAAAUAUGAAUGUCGGUCUGGCUGAAACUUGGGGAGAUUUUUAAGGGUUAGCGGUGAUGAAAAAUGGCAAAAGAGAAGGGAGGAAGCCCAGGCUAGGAAUCACAGAGAACAGAAAAGCACAAGAAGAGCCCUGUGGAUCCCAUCUGUUGUUGUUUAGUCGUUUAGUUGUGUCCGACUCUUCGUGACCCCAUGGACCAGAGCACGCCAGGCACUCCUGUCUUCCACUGCCUCCCGCAGUUUGGUCAAACUCAUGCUGGUAGCUUCAAGAACACUGUCCAACCAUCUCGUCCUCUGUCGUCCCCUUCUCCUUGUGCCCUCAAUCUUUCCCAACAUCAGGGUCUUUUCUAGGGAGUCUUCCCUUCUCAUGAGGUGGCCAAAGUGUUGGAGCCUCAGCUUCACGAUCUGUCCUUCCAGUGAGCACUCAGGGCUGAUUUCCUUAAGAAUGGAUAGGUUUGAUCUUCUUGCAGUCCAUGGGACUCUCAAGAGUCUCCUCCAGCACCAUAAUUCAAAAGCAUCAAUUCUUCGGCCAUCAGCCUUCUUUAUGGUCCAGCUUUCACUUCCAUACAUCACUACUGGGAAAACCAUAGCUUUUACUAUACAGACCUUUGUUGGCAAGGUGAGGUCUCUACUUUUUAAGAUGCUGUCUAGGUUUGUCAUUGCUUUUCUCCCAAGAAGCAGGCGUCUUUUAAUUUCGUGGCUGCUG
rnacentral:lncRNA from 1 species